rnacentral:rRNA from 1 species
GACGAACGCUGGCGGCGUGCCUAAUACAUGCAAGUCGAACGCAGUGGGGACGGGUGAGUAACACGUGGGUAACCUCCCAUCAGAGGGGAUAACACUUGGAAACAGGUGCUAAACCGAUACUGAUGGAUGAACCCGCGGUGCAUUAGCUAGUUGGUGAGGGAACGGCUCACCAAGGCCACGAUGCAUAGCCGGCCUGAGAGGGUGACCGGCCACACUGGGACUGAGACACGGCCCAGACUCCUACGGGAGGCAGCAGUGGGGAAUAUUCGGCAAUGGACGAAAGUCUGACACAGCCACGCCGCGUGAGUGAAGAAGGUUUUUGGGUUGUAAAGCUCUGUUGUUAGGGAAGCGGUAUCUACCCAGAAAGCAACGGCUAACUACGUGCCAGCAGCCGCGGUAAUUC